UUUCACCAAAUAAUACAACAAAAACUUCGAGACUCAUAAAAUAAGUGAUCCAACUAAGUCGUCGAUGACUAUAAGCUUUUAAGUCUCUCGCUAGACUGUCCACAGAUUUCUUCAUCUUCUUUGUCUCUUAGCCUUUCUAUAUUAUCCACCAUAUCUUUAAAUUUCUUUUAUAAUUUGCUGUAUAGCCUAUAUAAAUGCAUAACCAUGAGUGACACUAAUAAGCAAAAUAAGAGGGAAUAUUAAGAUGACAUCUACUAUGGUUCUAUUCCUCCUUCUUCUUCUUGUGUUUCCGCAUAUGGAUAAAGCCCUAGGCGCACACGAGGAAUCCCAGAAACAAGGUUAGUCUUUUGGUAUUUUAGAUGUUCCGAGGUCAUUAGUAUCAUUUUACGUUAUUAAUUAGUUGUGUUUAAUCCUGAUUUUGGUUUGAAUUUUGGAAUUUCUCCUCAUUUGAAUAGACAAAUGAGCACAAAGAUGAUCAAACAUUGACACUGUAAUAUAUAAUGUAAUGCUUUUCGGGUGGUGUAGGUGCAGAAAAGACUUACCAUGAUGCACGCUUUACUAUUCCUAUUAAGCCAAAAUAUAUUCCUAAGGUUAUACGCCCUACGCCAAAAGAUCCGCCUAUUCCGGAAUGUCUUCGAAAAGGCACAUGUAGUCGUCUUCAUUUAUCUCCUCCUCCGCCCCAGAGG
rnacentral:lncRNA from 1 species